rnacentral:rRNA from 1 species
AUUGAACGCUGGCGGCAUGCCUAACACAUGCAAGUCGAACGAAGUGGCGAACGGGUGAGUAAUACUUGAGUAACCUUCCCUCCUUUUUGGAAUAAGCCUUGUAAACGGUGUCUAAUACCUGAUAAAGGGGUAUGGGCUCGCGGCCUAUUAGCUUGUUGGUGGGGUGAUUGUCUAACAAGGCGGUGACGGGUAGCCGGCCUGAGCGGGUGAACGGGCACAUAGGGACUGAGAUACGGCCGAGGCUACUACGGGAGGGAGAAGUGGGGGAUAUUGAAGAAUGGGCGAAAGACUGAUGCAGCGACGCCGAGUGGGGGAUGAAGGCUUUAGGGUUGUAAACUUCUUUCGGUAUAGAAAGGGUAGGUAGAGAAGAAGAGCCGGCUAACUACGUGCCAGCAGCCGCGGUAAUAC